GUUGCUUAUGCUCUGGUGGAACAAGGUUAGAAAGCUGAGAGUAGAAUGCAGCCAGAAAUCUAUUUGGAGAUUCUCUGGGUGGAGAUGACAUGCCCUCUGAUUCUAUUUUCUAUAGCGACAAACAGUCUGAUUGGUUGACUGGUUUUGUUCUCUAUACGUAAAAAGCCAAGGCUCGCCAAACACUGAGGGAGUGGAGUCUUUAUUCCUCUGUGGAAGCAUGUAGUUUUGGGAAGAUCACAGCAGAUACAGGCAUUUGCCCUGGACCAGCAGGAGUAGACCAGGGAUGUUGUUGUCUAGCCCUUUCAGAAGCAGCAUGGACCAUCAGAGAGUUGAGAGAGGGAACUAAGCUGAAGCUGUGGAAACAUAAAGGUUCCGUUCGGACCGUGCAACGGCAAGAAGGAACUGGAGAGGCAGUUGGUCCAACCCAUCCUUUAUCCCCUUGGAGGCACGAGGCGAGCCAGGGUGCAUGUGCAGACCAAUGGACACUGCUUUCAAAUUCUCUGGCUCCAGGCGCAUGUGUAAUCCAUAGCGGAAUACAACAGGGACCAUCACUCGAAGAAUAAGAGUUCUUUACAAUGCUUAGAGAUUAUCAGAAAGUCCCUGAGAUAUGGGCACUGAGAUCUUGAAAAAAUGCUGUAAAUACACACAAUACGGGCUUCCUUAUAACUAUAUGUGCUAAAGACAGCUGCGCCAAUGAAAUGCCACUAGAAGCCACCCGGUUAUCAUUCUGUCAGAACAAGUACAAUCAGACAUGUCUUCUCUCUGGAACAAUGAUAGUUUACCUGAUGAGAAGUAGGAGUGUGCUGCAUGGGACCUAGAAUUCUUGGGUUUGGUAGACCCACUGGGCCUACCCUGCGUUGAGCCUGCUGCCUCUGAGCCAUGACCUGCUGCUGCAUGUGCUGGAGUCGUAGUUGAGCUAAACUGAUCUGUGUUGGGAACUUAGACAGUUGGUUUGAAGGUAAGCCACUUUGUGGCUGUAAAUUUGGUUCCAUCACAGGGCUCUUGGGCAUGUGUGGUGGGGUUUCUU